rnacentral:lncRNA from 1 species
AAACAAGCAAUAGGGAAAUAUCCCACUAUGCAAUCCUAUUUUGAGAUGAUAUUUAGGAUGAGAGAACAUGCAUUAGUUACCUACCAGCUUGACAGGAAUGGAUUUCCAAAUCUGACACACCAUAGCCUGAAUUCUCACCAGUUUGCUCCUGGAAAGGCCCGCUCAUGCAUGAGCCCCUGCCACUCUUCUAAAUAAGCUUCCAGGCAUUACCUGCAUGCUGUGUUCCUGUGGUGGGAUGGCAGUAAUCUCUGCUAAGAUAAACGGGAGCUUCUGUGGAUAAAGCAUAAAUGCAGUGAAGUGUGUGUGGCUGGAAGAUUUAAUGCCUCUACAGUGCUUAGAUACAAGUUGAGCUUGGAAUUCCAGAGGUAGAGCACUGCUGAUUGGAGACAUAUUAAGUAAAAUGUACUGUGGAAAUGAGAUAAAACCUUUAUUCUUGCUAAUGAUUGUCAUUGUAUGUAUUCAGGUGUCCAACAAAGGAUUUUAGAAUAAAGUGUGC